GCCUCGGUAACGCAGUAGGCAGCGCGUCAGUCUCAUAAUCCCUAAGAGAAAUCUGAAGGUCGUGAGUUCGAUCCUCACCCGGGGCA
rnacentral:tRNA from 1 species